rnacentral:rRNA from 1 species
CCUACGGGAGGCAGCAGUGGGGAAUAUUGGACAAUGGGCGAAAGCCUGAUCCAGCAAUGCCGCGUGAGUGAUGAAGGCCUUAGGGUUGUAAAGCUCUUUUACCAGGGAUGAUAAUGACAGUACCUGGAGAAUAAGCUCCGGCUAACUCCGUGCCAGCAGCCGCGGUAAUACGGAGGGAGCUAGCGUUGUUCGGAAUUACUGGGCGUAAAGCGUACGUAGGCGGUUAUUCAAGUCAGAGGUGAAAGCCUGGAGCUCAACUCCAGAACUGCCUUUGAAACUAGAUAGCUAGAAUCACGGAGAGGUUAGUGGAAUUCCGGAGUGUAGAGGUGAAAUUCGUAGAUAUUCGGAAGAACACCAGUGGCGAAGGCGACUAACUGGACGUGUAUUGACGCUGAGGUACGAAAGCGUGGGGAGCAAACAGGAUUAGAUACCCUGGUAGUCCACGCCGUAAACGAUGAUAACUAGCUGUUCGGUCUCUACGAGACUGAGUGGCGCAGCUAACGCAUUAAGUUAUCCGCCUGGGGAGUACGGUCGCAAGAUUAAAACUCAAAUGAAUUGACGG